rnacentral:rRNA from 1 species
GACGAACGCUGGCGGCGUGCUUAACACAUGCAAGUCGAACGGAAAGGCCCUGCUUUUGUGGGGUGCUCGAGUGGCGAACGGGUGAGUAACACGUGAGUAACCUGCCCUUGACUUUGGGAUAACUUCAGGAAACUGGGGCUAAUACCGGAUAGGAGCUCCUGCUGCAUGGUGGGGGUUGGAAAGUUUCGGCGGUUGGGGAUGGACUCGCGGCUUAUCAGCUUGUUGGUGGGGUAGUGGCUUACCAAGGCUUUGACGGGUAGCCGGCCUGAGAGGGUGACCGGCCACAUUGGGACUGAGAUGCGGCACAGACUCCUACGGGAGGCAGCAGUGGGGAAUAUUGCACAAUGGGCGGAAGCCUGAUGCAGCAACGCCGCGUGCGGGAUGACGGCCUUCGGGUUGUAAACCGCUUUCGCCUGUGACGAAGCGUGAGUGACGGUAAUGGGUAAAGAAGCACCGGCUAACUACGUG